UGCGAGUGAUGAACAAAUUAUAGCAGAAUUUAGAAAUCCAAUCUGAAAAAAACUCUGAGAAGAGCUUGCCAGGCCUGAAUUAAAAGAUUGUGAUGUGAAAUUAGGGAAUGAAGCACUAAGAACGCAAUUUUAUAAAAAGUGAAAAAAGCAUGCUCUGGAUAACGACCAAUAAUGCACUUGGAAAAGAAACAGAAUUUCAGAAUAAUCAGUACAUUAUGGAAGAAAGCAACGAGCAUAUUGAAUGGGUACAUCUGCAAAGUAAACAUCCUACAGAACAAUGGAGUUGGAAAGUAGUAACAAACAUGUUGAAACAAGCAUUAUCUGCUUUUAUGUAUAUUCUAUUUGCACAUAACAGGACUUAAUUUGUCAGUAACAAGAUACAGAUGCAUAUAAACAGUAAAGAGGUCUUCUAAAAAAUUAUUGCCCUAACCAAACCUUCAAAGACUUCUAAUCAUAGUGCUGAGGAUAGUUUAGAUUCAGCUCUCUGAUUUAUUAAACUAGAUUAGGACAACACUUGUCCGCUAGAAUGUUAGACCAUUAAGUACAAUUGAUUUACAGUGUAAACUAAGAAUUUUGUUGUGCAGUGCGUAGCGAAAGAAUUAUGCUCAUAGUUUCCA
rnacentral:lncRNA from 1 species